CUACGGGUUGCUGCAGUGGGGAAUAUUGGACAAUGGGGGAAACCCUGAUCCAGCAAUGCCGCGUGUGUGAAGAAGGCCUGCGGGUUGUAAAGCACUUUCGGUUGGGAGGACUGCUUCUAGCACUAAUAUUGUUGGAAGUUGACGUUACCUUCAGAAGAAGCACCGGCUAACUCCGUGCAAGCAGCCGCGGUAAUACGGAGGGUGCAAGCGUUAAUCGGAAUUACUGGGCGUAAAGCGCGCGUAGGCGGCUAGAUCAGUCGGGUGUGAAAGCCCCGGGCUUAACCUGGGAACUGCAUCCGAUACUGUCUAGCUUGAGUACAGGAGAGGAGAGUGGAAUUCCACAUGUAGCGGUGAAAUGCGUAGAUAUGUGGAGGAACACCAAUGGCGAAGGCAGCUCUCUGGCCUGAUACUGACGCUGAGGUGCGAAAACGUGGGGAGCAAACAGGAUUAGAUACCCCUGUAGUC
rnacentral:rRNA from 1 species